rnacentral:lncRNA from 1 species
UUUUUUUUUUGUGGGGGGGGGGGGGCUAGGAUGAAAUUUGAAAAAAAAUAGGCAGGACAGGAGUUUUGAGUAAAAAAAAAAAGGCAGGAUGAGACACUUGCAAAAAAAAAAGUCACGGACGACAAUUUAGGUAAAAAAAAGUCAGGAUAAACUAAAAAAAAAAAAAGGCAGGACCGAACAGAGUGAAAAAUAAAAAGGCAGGACAGAGAUUACAGCUAAAAAAA